rnacentral:sRNA from 1 species
UAACGUUAGGCCAUGGUUACCAGGAGGU